rnacentral:misc_RNA from 1 species
AACGCACCUUGCACCCUUUGGUAUUCCGAAGGGUAUGCCCGUUUGAGUGUCAUUGUAAUCUCACACCCCUAGAUUUAUUCGACGGGCGGUGGACUUGGAUGCUGCCGCGUUAAGCGGCUCGUCUUAAAUGCAUUAGUGCAACUUUCGGUUGGACAUAGUACAGCGUGAUAAGUAUCUUCGCUGGCUCUCCUCACGGAGGUGUUCGAACGUUAAGCUCUGUGCUUCUAAUCGUCCCCUGGUGGAUUAAGCUUCGGCUUACUUGACAACCUUGACCUCAAAUCGGGUAGGACUACCCGCUGAACUUAA